GAUGAACGCUGGCGGCGUGCCUAAUACAUGCAAGUCGAGCGAACAGAUGAGGAGCUUGCUCCUCUGACGUUAGCGGCGGACGGGUGAGUAACACGUGGAUAACCUACCUAUAAGACUGGGAUAACUUCGGGAAACCGGAGCUAAUACCGGAUAAUAUAUUGAACCGCAUGGUUCAAUAGUGAAAGACGGUUUUGCUGUCACUUAUAGAUGGAUCCGCGCCGCAUUAGCUAGUUGGUAAGGUAACGGCUUACCAAGGCAACGAUGCGUAGCCGACCUGAGAGGGUGAUCGGCCACACUGGAACCGAGACACGGUCCAGACUCCUACGGGAGGCAGCAGUAGGGAAUCUUCCGCAAUGGGCGAAAGCCUGACGGAGCAACGCCGCGUGAGUGAUGAAGGUCUUCGGAUCGUAAAACUCUGUUAUUAGGGAAGAACAAAUGUGUAAGUAACUAUGCACGUCUUGACGGUACCUAAUCAGAAAGCCACGGCUAACUACGU
rnacentral:rRNA from 1 species